ensembl:lncRNA LINC02097 long intergenic non-protein coding RNA 2097
AACGGAAACAGAGGCUGCAGCCACAGCCCAGGAACGGUGGUCUUUCGCACACAUGGGGCAGCCUCUGCCACAACUUUUUCUUCCAAGGAAAUCAACACAAAUGAAAACUGGCUGAUGCUCUGGUCCACCAGAGGCUGAAGAAGAAAACCGCAAAAUGGAGACUGCCCAAUUCUAAUUUAAUUCAGAAGAACAAACAGGGCAUCACUCAGCGGACUUCAAAUCCCCAGUCAGAAGAUUUUGCCCGUGGAGCAAAUCGUUUCAUGGGCCAUCUACCCCACCUACUCCCUCCUGCCACAGCAAGGAGGUGAAAAUAGCUCAUGAAGCCAUGGUUGAAGGAAGAGAAGCUAAGAGGAUGAAAUAGGAAUUCAAAGUGCAAGUCCAUCAUACCAAAGAGCUGUCUCAAUUACAUCCUGACCCCUUUUAGUAAUGUGGCCAGGGGUGUGCUUGCAGUUGGUUUAGUCCCCUGACAUUUCACCACCUCCAAGAUAGGCCUGGGACUGCUGAGACCCCAGUGGUAACCAAACCAAGGAUCCUGAGAACUUCCCAGUGCCCAAGCUGGCAAACAAAAGAACAUGAGUGUUGUUUGGGUUAGCCCACAACUAACUCCUCCAUGAGCUGCCAAACACUCAGUAUACAUUCUCGUCACCAAGAAAUGCCACUGGAAUGAAUCUGCACCAAAGCUGUUUAUGUGACUAAUGAACCUCCAUUACGUUGCAUCCAAGUAGGAGUAAAAUUUAUAUUCUACUCA